CUGCUGCCUUCCGUAGGAGUCUGGGCCGUGUCUCAGUCCCAAUGUGGCCGGUCACCCUCUCAGGUCGGCUACUGAUCGUCGGCUUGGUGGGCCGUUACCCCGCCAACUACCUAAUCAGACGCGGGCCCAUCUUACACCACCGGAGUUUUUACCACUGCACCAUGCAGUACUGUGGUCUUAUGCGGUAUUAGCAGUCAUUUCUAACUGUUAUCCCCCUGUGUAAGGCAGGUUGCCCACGCGUUACUCACCCGUCCGCCGCU
rnacentral:rRNA from 1 species